rnacentral:rRNA from 1 species
CUAAUACAUGCAAGUCGAGCGGACAGAAGGGAGCUUGCUCCCGGAUGUUAGCGGCGGACGGGUGAGUAACACGUGGGUAACCUGCCUGUAAGACUGGGAUAACUCCGGGAAACCGGAGCUAAUACCGGAUAGUUCCUUGAACCGCAUGGUUCAAGGAUGAAAGACGGUUUCGGCUGUCACUUACAGAUGGACCCGCGGCGCAUUAGCUAGUUGGUGGGGUAAUGGCUCACCAAGGCGACGAUGCGUAGCCGACCUGAGAGGGUGUUCGGCCACACUGGGACUGAGACACGGCCCAGACUCCUACGGGAGGCAGCAGUAGGGAAUCUUCCGCAAUGGACGAAAGUCUGACGGAGCAACGCCGCGUGAGUGAUGAAGGUUUUCGGAUCGUAAAGCUCUGUUGUUAGGGAAGAACAAGUGCGAGAGUAACUGCUCGCACCUUGACGGUACCUAACCAGAAAGCCACGGCUAACUACGUGCCAGCAGCCGCGGUAAUACGUAGGUGGCAAGCGUUGUCCGGAAUUAUUGGGCGUAAAGGGCUCGCAGGCGGUUUCUUAAGUC